rnacentral:misc_RNA from 1 species
UCGAAUAACGACGUAAAAACUGAGCACUAGAUGGCGAUGGUUACUCGGAAAACUACGACGAUCGCCAAGGGCUGUGCUCAUACUAGACAGAGACUGUAUCCAAAGUCAGUCGUAUUCAACAUGGCUGACAUAGUACUGUCAGCCGAAGAAGAGUCGGCGGCCAAGGAAUUCAUUGCGGCGGUCAACCUUGCUCGUCAACAACGUGGCUCUGGGCCGCUCUCGUGGGCGACAGCCGUCAAGUUUUUGAUGGCACGCAAGUUCGACGUUGGACGCGGGCUAACUCUAUACGAACAACACGAAUCAACGCGGAUCCGUGAGGGAUUGGUCCAUUUCGAGCCCGCCAUUGAACCGCUAAGAACCGAGUUGGAGACGGGAAAGUUCACCGUGCUACCAACUCGUGAUGGAGGUGGUGCUGCCAUUGCCGUUUUUACCGCUCGCCUACACUAUCCUGAGCUCUCUAAUCACCAAGUCACACUCCAGGGUGUCGUUUAUCAGCUGGACGUAGCCCUGGAGAGUGUGGACACGCAACGUUCCGGCCUUGUAUUCAUCUACGACAUGAGCGAUUCAAAAUAUGCCAACUUUGACUAUGACCUCAGUCAGAAAAUAUUGACAUUACUUAAGGGAGCUUAUCCAGCACGGCUGAGGAAAGUGUUGAUAGUGACGGCGCCACUCUGGUUUAAAGCUCCAUUCAAGAUUUUACGGCUGUUUGUGCGUGAAAAAUUGCGAGAUCGUGUCUACACCGUCAGCUUACCUCAGUUGACGUUGCACUUGCCAGCGGACUCGCUGCCGAGUGAGCUGGGCGGUAAUCUUAAAGUGGACCACGGCGCCUGGCUUCGCUAUUGCUUCAAAUCGAUGACGAAUCGCGUCGGGGAUUUGUGCGACAUAUCAACUGGACCCAACCCACUGUUUCCGCCUUCGGAAACGGCCACGACUUCUGAAGCGGAUGAUCGGCCUGAACGGGAAGAGGAGGAGGAACCCAUUAGUGAAGCUGAACCGUCUGACGACGACGACGACGUCGAAGAGAUCGAAGAACCUGUCCCACUGCAAGUCGAGUCUGUUGCACACCGACUGCAGGAGCCGAUACCGCUUGCGCCCGCCUCUCAGGACUUUGUCAACAAUUUUGCUACCGUUUCGUGCAAAAGUGCAUCGGUGGUGGAAGCCUCUCCACCGCCAAAGCCAACAGUGGCCAACGUUUCAGACAAUAUGGUUAUAGAGAGAUCCGCAUCUCCACCGCCACCGCCGUCUUCUGCCAGCAGCGGAUUCUCGGACGACGACAGUCUGCAUUUUGACGACGGCAGGGGUAUGACCCUUGAAGAGUUUGCGGGUCACGUCAAAGCCAAAAGCAAACAGGGUCUUUAUCUCGAGUAUGCCGAUAUCAAAGCCAAAGGGACGGACGGCACUUUUAACAAUUCCAGAUUAAAAGGUAACGCUGCCAAAAAUCGUUACACAGACGUUUUGUGCUAUGAUCACAGUCGGGUCGUCUUGUCUAUGGAAGAUCCCGAAGACAUUUGCUCGGAUUACAUCAACGCCAACUACGUCGACGGCUACAAACAAAAGAACGCUUUCAUUUCGACCCAAGGUCCUCUACCAAAGACCUAUGGUGAUUUUUGGCGGAUGGUAUGGGAACAGCAGUGCGUCGUGGUCGUCAUGACCACACGUUGCCUGGAGAGGGGAAGACCCAAAUGUGGCCAGUACUGGCCUCUUGGCGAGGAAGAGGCGGCCGAAUACGGCCAUUUUGAAAUUAUCAACCUGACAACAGAGCAACAAAGUGAUUACACCAUCUCGAUGCUCCAUCUGACAAACCUGAAGACGCGUGAGACCCGAUCUGUGGCUCACAUGCAAUUUACAUCUUGGCCCGACUACGGCGUACCUCUCUCGGCAACGGCCAUGCUCGAGUUCCUGCAGCGAAUGCGCGACAUGCAGAGUGGUUUGGUAGCUGCCAUGGGCGAUACUUGGAUCGGUCAUCCGCUUGGCCCUCCCAUAGUCGUUCACUGUUCAGCUGGCAUCGGUCGUACAGGCUCACUCUGCACGAUUGAUAUUUGUCUCCGGAGAUUAGAAGAUGUCGGUACGAUCGAUGUUCUAGGCACGGUUGAGAAAAUCCGGUCGCAGCGAGCCCAUUCGAUUCAGAUGCCUGAUCAAUAUCUCUUCUGUCAUACGGCCAUCUUAGAAUGUGCUGUAGCGGCUGGCCUGCUCCAGGGCGAUGAACUGGCAUGCUUGGAUGACGAGGAUGACAGUAGCGAUACUGGCUAGGCAUACAAAGGAUAUUAAGAAAAAGAAAAAGAGAAAAAAAAAAUAAUAACGCUAAUGGCAUCCCUAGCCCCCGAAAGUGGAACGGAUACAUUGAUUUUUCCUUCCCAUUCGUUCGGCUUAAAAAUCACGUCGAAGCCGAGUCUUAUGUAUAUUUUUUGACUAUCGAUAUAUUCCAAAAAACAAAAACAAAAAACAAAACAAAGCAAACAAAACAAACAGAAUGAACUGUGUGUAGGCACAAGUUGAGAGAAAUUAACUUUUGCCAUUAACCAAUCCCUAACAAUUAUUUAUUUCUUCUCUGUCUCUUUGGAAGGAAAAAAAAUUACCUCGUCCCUCCCUGACGUUUACUUUUUCAUUUUUUUCUCUUUCUUUUUCAUUCAUUUGCGUGCAUUUCAUGGCUCUUUUUUAAGUGUACAUUACGCCAAAGACUUGUAUUUUCCUUUCUCCAUUUUCUUAGUUAUUCUUAUCGUGUGCGCGUGCUUGACUUUGUAAAUCUUCUACAGACCGUUAACCCUUGACAGAAAACUGCACGCCCAAGAAUCUUUUUUUUUUUUGGGGGACAUAAAAUUGUCAUUUUCAUGAUUUUCUGUAGGACUGAAGAUGUAACUAAGGUUUGGUUGACGCCCGUGGUAAGGAAUUUCGGCAAUCUAAAAAGCGACAAUAGCAGAAAUAACGUUCGCGAAGAAUUUUGUUUAAUUAAAUCGCAUGAACUGUGACCUGGAUGCUGGUCAUUCGACAUCUCUUAUUGAAAAAGAUCAUCCCAUUCCUUAGAUGCUGUUAAUCAUGCUUUUAACAAUAUAGAAUCGAUCGUA